UACGAAGGGGGCUAGCGUUGCUCGGAAUCACUGGGCGUAAAGGGUGCGUAGGCGGCCUUGUAAGUCAGGGGUGAAAGACGGUAGCUCAACUAUCGCAGUGCCUUUGAUACUGCAGGGCUUGAAUGUACUUGAGGUAGGCGGAAUGUGACAAGUAGCGGUGAAAUGCAUAGAUAUGUCACAGAACACCAAUUGCGAAGGCAGCUUACUAAAGUAUGAUUGACGCUGAGGCACGAAAGCGUGGGGAUCAAACAGG
rnacentral:rRNA from 1 species